rnacentral:rRNA from 1 species
UACGUAGGGGGCAAGCGUUGUCCGGAAUCAUUGGGCGUAAAGAGCGUGUAGGCGGUUCGGUAAGUCCGCUGUGAAAGUCCAGGGCUCAACCCUGGAAUGCCGGUGGAUACUGCCGGGCUAGAGUCCGGAAGAGGCGAGUGGAAUUCCCGGUGUAGCGGUGAAAUGCGCAGAUAUCAGGAGGAACACCGAUGGCGAAGGCAGCUCGCUGGGACGGUACUGACGCUGAGACGCGAAAGCGUGGGGAGCAAACAGG